AUUAGGCUGUGCACAGCAGAUACAGGCUCCCGUCCUCCUGCUGCUACUGAUGGAAUUUGAUUCCGCGCUGCCAAAUCUGCAGGGCUGCAAACACAUUCCCACUCCUGAUUAAUCCCCGUCCCCCGGGCUGCUGUGGGACCCGAGAUGCCUGUACGGCUCUCCGAGUGGUUUUGGAGAGGCAGAACCAGUUGCCCCGUGGGGACACGACUCCCACAGCGACGCUGCCUAUUCCCAAGCGCCACCUGAUGGCAUCACCGCCAGGAAGGAUUUGUUCGGCAGCGUUUAUACCGGCACAGACGCGAGAAUCACCUCCGACAGCAGAGAGGGUGGAAAUGGGAAACGGGGACGCUGAGAGCAGCCCUGGCUCAGGACCCUGCCCUGUGUCCAUCCCCGGGAUGGGGCAGAGCAAAGCCGAGCUCAGGGGAUGCACACCACGGCUCCCCUCUUCUUCUCAAGCCCAUCAAAGUUCUUCCAAGCUACCCGGGAGGCAGGGAGAUCCUGCUAGCCCUGGCUGGAGGAUCCCCACAACUGCCCCCUUUUUAAUUCUCCUGGAUGUGCCUGAGAAGACAGCUCUGUGUUUAUAAACGUGAGAAAGAAUCGCACAGAAAUCCCGGGAGCAGCAAGUCCCGACACCUCCCACACGGCAACGCGAGAGAAGCCACUUUCCUCUGCCACCAGACGAGGGGCUUUGUCACACCAGUGUCACCCCCACCUCCCUCUGCCUCCCCAGAGGUGCCACCCAGACGUGUGGGGGAGACCCUCUGUCUGCAACAGCCACGCAGAGGUCGGACACACUCCAGCCAAAGGAGAGGGUCUCCCCCGAACCAGCAAACACAAACAGGGCUCACACAACCAGCAACAGUGCCUGGAAGAGACAUCCUUGGGCCAGGCCUCCCCCUCCCCUCUCCCCAGACCAGUUCAGGGCAGGGGACAUGGGUGAGAUUAACACAGGGCUGGGUCAGGGUCGCCUUUGAGCACAAAGCCCUUGGAGGGGGGAGCUUAACUCUGCCACGGCCCUGCUCCACCGCUCCCCCCUGCCCUCCCCUCCCUCCGCUGGGAGCGCCGGGCUCUGACACUUGUCAGGGAAAA